UGGGCAAUGGCGGGCGCCCCUCCCCCCGCCUCGCUGCCGCCUUGCAGUUUGAUCUCAGACUGCUGUGCUAGCAAUCAGCGAGACUCCGUGGGCGUAGGACCCUCCGAGCCAGAGAUGGGAUCUUACUACAUUGCCCAGGCUGAAGUGCAGUGGCUAUUAACAGCUGUAAUCAUAAUGCAUUGCAGCUUUGAAUUCCUGGGCUUGAGCGACCUCCCCACCUUAGCCUCCUGAGUAGCUGAGACUACAGGCACUGUCCUAGGUACUGUGGGGACCAAAACAUUCAGACCUGCUUCUAAGGAGUGCAGUCCAUGGAAGAGUCAGAAUAACAAAUCAACAUUUGUACUACACCAGACCAGCUCUCUUCUAAGGUUGCUAUGACUUCCCAGCAGGCAUUCUAAUAUAUGCAUUCUUCAUAACAACUGUGUGAAACAUAUUAAUAUCCUCAUUGUUAACGAUGAAGAAACUAAAUCUCAGGAAGAAAAACUAAGUGAAGACAAAAGAAGGAUUUGAACUGAGGUUUGUCAGACUCUCGGGACCAUGCUGUUGAAACCACUAAACCACGCUGCCUCUGGGUCACUUGAUUAUUCUGGGAGAUUCUGGGAGUCUUUUCUCCAACACUCCAGUGGCAUCUGACUAUACUGAUGGCCCUUUGCAGGUGUGACCCUGAGCUCUGCUGGAUUUCUUGUGAAGAAAACUCCAAGGAAUGGAUGAAUGCCUGGAAACUUACUGCUGGAAGUCAUAAGGCAAUGACAAGAAAAUAGCAUAUCAUUGGAAGACUUGACCCAUGGGAUCUAUAAAUUCCUAGGGAAGCUCCUUACUAUAAUUUGUUUGGUUUCUAUGGAAUCCAACAAGAAAAGAAAUAGCGAAACAUGUGGGUUGUCUCCUCUUUGGCACUAAGCCUGGGAGAAUAUGAAGAUAUCUGAAAACAAAGAGGCUUCCUUCAGGUGUUCAGGAGGGGGCUAACACUGCCUACUUGUAUGUCAAGGGCCCAUGGGAGUAGACACUCCCAGAAUGCUACCACUUGGAUUCUCCAGGGAUCAUAUGUGAUACCAAUCAGCUGACAAAGAAAAUAACAACCCAUCUAAGGGGAUUCAGCAGCUAGAAAGAAAAUGAGUAUGCCAAGCAAACUGAAUACACGACCAGCAAAAUAGAACUUCAAAAGGAGACAAAAUACAACAUUCUCUCUCUCUCUGUGUGUGUGUGUGUGUGUGUGUGUGUGUGUGUUUGCAUGUAAAUAACAAAAUUCAAGUUCUGGACACAAUUUUUAGAGCUAAACACAUGACCUUCCAACUAAACUUUUUAUUAGAUAUCAAAGAAGCUGGUCACUGUUGAGGUGAAGAUCAAGUGCAAGAUACAUUUUGAGGCACAGAGCAAAAAUGUAAAGAAUCAGAAAAAGACAAGAGACUUGAGGAUUUAAUCCAAACAACUGAACAGCUAAAAACAAGAGCUACAGGGGCAGAAGAAGAAAAAGUUUAAGAAAGAGACAGUAUAUUAUUUUCUCUGAGAAGAGGUAAAGCUGGAAACCUGUUGUAAGCAAGAUUUAUUGAAUUUUCUCAUCAUAGUCUUAAAAGAGCAGUACUCCAAUAGGUCUUGUUUACUAAAGGAAGAUUUGUUGAAAGAAUCAAACAACUGAUGGAGGCUGAUGAAAAGAAUACAUGACGAUCAAUGACACUUGGUACACACGUUCACACUCACAGACACAUACACAAACGUUGGAUAGGAAAAGGCUGGCUGGCAACAUGUGGCAACAGUGCUCUGUAAGGACUCUUGAAGUAGAAUAAAUAGUCUUACUGAAA
rnacentral:lncRNA from 10 species